UACAGAGGGUGCGAGCGUUGUCCGGAAUCACUGGGCGUAAAGGGCGCGUAGGCGGCUUGAUAAGGUUGCGGUGAAAGCCCGGGGCUCAACCCCGGGUCGGCCGUGGCAACUGUCGAGCUGGAGCACUGUAGAGGCAGGUGGAAUUCCGGGUGUAGCGGUGGAAUGCGUAGAGAUCCGGAAGAACACCGGUGGCGAAGGCGGCCUGCUGGGCAGUGGCUGGACGCUGAGGCGCGACAGCAUGGGGAGCAAACAGG
rnacentral:rRNA from 1 species